UUUUUAAUACGCUUUUGUUGUAAACGUUUAAACGUAGAUUUUUUUCUAGGGUGAUGCGCAAAUGUAUGUCCUUGAGUUGCAAUAUAAAUCAGCUAACAAGAAAAAACCUUGUGUGAAUUUCAUUUUCGUCUAUGUAAUGAUACAUGCCUGCAAUUACUAGGACAAAAAUGGUCACUCUUAGAAUUCUGUUGAUUGGGGUCAUAGUCAUUCUUACAAAUGCGCAAUUGGACAACGUCAAAAAGAUCGACAAACCAAAACAAGCACUUCUUGUAAAAUUUAAUCACGAUUCUGCAAGAUUAAACCGGAAAAAGCGCAAUUAUUAUGGGAGCUGCCACGAAAUCAAAACAUGGAACACUAUAGAUGGGAACGGGAACACAGUUUAUCUCGAUCGUCAAAGUCCCGAUUGUGGAUUAACAGCUAUGAGGUCAUUCCACUUGGUUCGGAAUGAUGCAGGCAGUCAUGUGAGAUAUGAUGUAAGCUGUUGCAAUCUUCCUCGGAAUUUUAGAUGUAAUUCGGAAACACUGAACACUCCUUGGGACGUCGAUGGAAAUGGUAAAGUUGUUUAUCUAGAUCGUCAGUUCGUAUCAUGUCCACAUAAUGGAUUCAUUAAACACUUCCAUUUAAA